rnacentral:tRNA from 1 species
GGGCCGUUAGCUCAAUUGGCAGAGCAGCGGACUUUUAAUCCGCGGGUUCAGGGUUCGAUCCCCUGACGGCCCACCC